UUUACUUUCGUUUGUUGUAAAGACUUAAACUGACUAACAGUGGAUCAGGUGUAUUCAGUGUUUAUGAGGUUGAAGUGAAGGUUGCACUCCGGUGUAACUGGAAACUCUCUGAAACAAGAACAGCAGGUUCAGCAGAACCAAGAACGUCUAAAGAUUCAUAGAACCUGGUGUUCAUUUCUGCAGAACAAUGGACAUUGAGAAGCUGGUUGACGUCGUGGCUGAGAAGGAAAAUUUACAGGUGGUGAAAGUUAACGAUGGCAUUGCUCACGCGACUCAGCAGAUUGUUGAUGUUCUCAACAAGAUCCCACUUCAAACUAAAAGAGAACUCUACUCUGCUAUUCGGGACCUGCUUGCAGGUUGGGUCUGGCCUUUUGUGGAUUCAUUUCUUGAAGGGGUUUUCAAGGAUGAGAACACAGAAUCAAAAUAUUGAUGUUAUUACAUUAUGAAACCUCAUAAAAAAGUAUGUUGUGGAUAAAAUGGUGGAAAAAACCUCUUAAAGGGAGCUGAAACUGGAAGAAUCCAGUGCUGUUUAUGAUCUGUCUGUGGGCACUAAAUACACACCAGCGACGUCUCUGUAAUUUUGGAAAUUGUUAGUUUCUGUUCUUCAGUUUCUUUGAUUCAUUUACCAGAUGAUUUCAGGAAUGAAUCUUCUGUAUUAAUUAUAAUCCAACUUUUAACUUUGCUUUGUUUUUAUCUUUUUUACUUACAAAUAAAGAUUUUAGAGGAAGAUUAUUUUGAAAGUCUGUUGAUGCUGUUACAGAUUUCUUGCAGACUCCUGUUGGGAUAAUAACUGUUAUACCUGAAGACAAGCCAGCAACCAGGUCUAAAUACCCUGCACCUUGAGCCAUCCAGCACUGGUAUCAUACUGGAAUGUAUGGCAUUGCAAGUCACACUCAAGCUAUUUGCUUGACUUGUGGACAAAUACAUUAAACAUGAUUUAACAUUUGUGCUUGUUAAACUGUGCCAGAUUAAGUAAUAGUUUGAUUGGAUGUUUUAUUUGUGUAACUAUUAAUAACUCUUUAAUGUUAUGUACAUGUUACAUGUAUAUUCUGUUUAAAGUAGGAACUACUGAAUUAAA